AUGGGCAACGAAUCAAAUUGGUUGACGACUGACAUCUAUGGUUCUGUGGGCAUCAUGACGAAGUCGGAGGUUAUUUUGACUCAGCCAGAGGCAAAGACUGGCCGUCCCGGAGGCAGCCUGAAACUAACCUGUAAAACCAGCGGGUUCGAUCUUGGCAGCUACUGCAUGAGCUGGGUCCAACAGGUUCCCGGACAGGGCCUGGAGUGGCUGGUUAGCAACUAUAUUGCAUCUAGCAAUUACUAUGCCUCGGCGAUUAAGGGUCGGCUUACUGCAUCCAAGUGCACUUCAAACAACAUCUUCGCGUUAGACAUGAGUAACCUGAAGAUCGAAGACCCCGCCAUCAAUUAA